rnacentral:tRNA from 1 species
GGGGUCGUAGUUCAGUGGCUAGAACGUCAGAUUGUGGAUCUGAUUGCCGUGGGUUCGAGUCCCAUCGACCCCC